rnacentral:piRNA from 1 species
UCACAAUAUAAAUACAAUUGU